UACGGAGGGAGCUAGCGUUGUUCGGAUAUACUGGGCGUAAAGCGCACGUAGGCGGCGCAGCAAGUCAGGGGUGAAAUCCCGGAGCUCAACUCCGGAACUGCCCUUGAAACUGCAGUGCUAGAAUCCUGGAGAGGCGAGUGGAAUUCCGAGUGUAGAGGUGAAAAUUCGUAGAUAUUCGGAAGAAACACCAGUGGCGAAGGCGACUCGCUGGACAGGUAUUGACGCUGAGGUGCGAAAGCGUGGGGAGCAAACAGG
rnacentral:rRNA from 1 species